ensembl:lncRNA
AUGGCAGACACUGUUGCCUUCAGGCCACUUGUAAUGCAGCUGAGGCCAGCAGGCAGCAAACGGGUGCUAGUUUUGCCAUUCUGUGGCCCUACAUGUGUUCGGUGGUCCUACAGGAAUUCUGCCCCUGAGCAAAGAUGGGCACAUAUGUCCUUCCAAGGAAAAACUGGUACCGUGGUAUUUCUUGGCUCCCACCUAACAGGAAGAAGAGGAUUGCCCAGAGCAUCUGAAGGGGAACGCCACCAGUGGGAGCACUGGAGCAGGACUGAGGAUGUAGCUGUGCCGUCCAAAUCAGGCGCGUCUCUGGGAUAUGUGUUGGAGGUGGGCUGCUCGGUUUGGAUGUGUCCCCAGCUAACCCGGCCUGCUUCACCAGCUGAAGUGCUCUCCUGUUAUCCCAGAUGAUGUUGUCGGGACGAGAGAAUGAAAUGAAGAGACAGGGAUGUGCUUUGAAAGUGUUGCGGGACACUCCCAGAAAGUGCCCCCCCCCCCCCNCCCCCCCCCAAUAGAAGAUUGUUAUCAAGGACACAGUGAAAUUAUCCACUUCCUUACAAAUGAUCCCCAGGGGUCUGUCUGUCCGUGCUCUACCAGGGAACACUCUUCCCACCAGUGACCUGCUCAUAACAGAUCUCUCCAAGAGCAGUUUCCAGUACUUCUCAGCUACUUUCCAGGUGUGGGUUCUGAGCAAGAAACCACUCCAGCAUGGCACAACACAGCAGUGAGCCUGCCCAAGUGUGUUCAUCAUGUGGAGGACAUACUUGGACAUCAGGAAGUACUGGGAUAAUGUCCCCUAUUUAAUCUUAAAUCUGAUAUGUGGGGCCAUAUGGUGUGGUUACAGUGGCAUUAAUUAUAUGUAUGCGUGAUCUUUUUUGGAUAAUAAUUCAAAGACGUUUGAUUAGCAGGUUCUCUAGUACACUUCCAAGAAUAUCCCAAAGACACUUUCUUCAUUCUUUUUAACACUAUUUUCAUCUUCAUUCAGGAUGUUGUUGUGGCUGUGAAUUACUUCCUCUGAUUUCAAUGUAAGACACUUCCUAACCUCUCUGAAGCCACUCAUAAUUCUAAGGAAGAACACUAAAAUGGUGUUUUAUCUCUUACGCCAAAGCCUGAAAGCCAAGAAAUUUUAAACUUCAUAAAGUUGGGGACACAAAUAUAUGUCUUGGGCACUAUGUUGUUAAAAGCCUGAAAGGGGUUUUUAAGUUGCUGUAUUUUCUCAUUUCCCCAUUAAAUAGAGGGCCUUAUCUAUCUAUCUUGGUUCUCCUAAAAAUGCUUGCAGAAGAAACAUCAAGAGGGAUCCUUGAAAAGGGAUUUGUUCUCAGAAUGCCUUUAAUUCUGUAGACUUUUUCAUUUUUCUUAGUAUCUCUUCAACUCAAGUGGCUGAGGCUUCUUGCAUUUCUUGAAGAUUAUCCCAGUUCCCAUCCACCCCAAAAAAAUCUCAGAAGUGCUCUUCAGCAGGUCAGAAUUGAGAAAACUUAUCUUUUUGACAGCUUAAUUUUUUUAAAGUUUGAAUUAAUUUGUGAAGACUAUAAAUUUUCUCAUCUUUCUAUACCAGAAAACAGCCCAGGAUUGGGUGGGGAUGGGGGGACAUCCUAGGAGAAUAUUUUCGGUGGGAAGAAACUCGGAACAGGUUCUGGAUUGCAGACCAAGCUCUCGGAGGGGUCUGUGGCAAUCGGGUUCCUGCCUCCCGGGUCAGAGGAGGUGGCUGGGCUCUGCGUGGCCGGGCCGGAUCACCCCCGGGGCGUCUCCGGUCCGUGUUCGCGGAGCGGGGCCGGGGCGCUCGGCAGCAGAGGGCAGCAGAGACGGCGCCGGGACCUGGUGCGGAGCCAGGCUGUUCGCAGUCCGGCUUUCUAUUCCCCGCUGCUGCCUCCCUCGCUCCCUCCUCCUCCUCCUCCCCCGUCCCGCCCUCCCCCGGCUCCCCGCCGGCCGCCGCUCCGAGCUCCACCGGGCUGCACGG